GAUGAACGCUGGCGGCGUGCCUAAUACAUGCAAGUCGAGCGAACGGACGAGAAGCUUGCUUCUCUGAUGUUAGCGGCGGACGGGUGAGUAACACGUGGAUAACCUACCUAUAAGACUGGGAUAACUUCGGGAAACCGGAGCUAAUACCGGAUAAUAUUUUGAACCGCAUGGUUCAAAAGUGAAAGACGGUCUUGCUGUCACUUAUAGAUGGAUCCGCGCUGCAUUAGCUAGUUGGUAAGGUAACGGCUUACCAAGGCAACGAUGCAUAGCCGACCUGAGAGGGUGAUCAGCCACACUGGAACUGAGACACGGUCCAGACUCCUACGGGAGGCAGCAGUAGGGAAUCUUCCGCAAUGGGCGAAAGCCUGACGCAGCAACGCCGCGUGAGUGAUGAAGGUCUUCGGAUCGUAAAGCUCUGUUAUUAGGGAAGAACAUAUGUGUAAGUAACUGUGCACAUCUUGACGGUACCUAAUCAGAAAGCCACGGCUAACUACGUG
rnacentral:rRNA from 1 species